UACAGAGGUCCCAAGCGUUGUUCGGAUUCACUGGGCGUAAAGGGUGCGCAGGUGGGUUGGCAAGUUCGAUGUGAAAGCCCCGGGCUUAACCCGGGAAUGGCAUUGGAUACUGUUGAUCUGGAGGGUCGGAGGGGGGACUGGAAUUCUUGGUGUAGCAGUGAAAUGCGUAGAUAUCAAGAGGAACACCAGUGGCGAAGGCGAAUCCCUGGACGAUACCUGACACUGAGGCACGAAAGCCAAGGGAGCAAACAGG
rnacentral:rRNA from 1 species